rnacentral:rRNA from 1 species
UACGUAGGGUGCGAGCGUUAAUCGGAAUUACUGGGCGUAAAGCGUGCGCAGGCGGUUUUGUAAGCCAGAUGUGAAAUCCCCGGGCUCAACCUGGGAAUGGCAUUUGGGACUGCAAGGCUGGAGUGCGGCAGAGGAGACUGGAAUUCCUGGUGUAGCGGUGAAAUGCGCAGAUAUCAGGAGGAACACCGAUGGCGAAGGCAGGUCUCUGGGCCACUACUGACGCUGAGAAGCGAAAGUGUGGGGAGCGAACAGG